GGACCAUAUCUAUCUUUAAAUUUUCAUAGAAUGUUAAUACUUCCGUAGUCGGUUUCUCAGGCAUCACAUAUUUUGUCCUGCUUAUUUAGAUUUUGCAGAACUCGUAUUAUGUUUAGGUUUAAUGAGAACUACAUAAAAAAUGAGUUAAAUUUGGGUCUGAUCCUGUCUAAGAGACUCAAUGGAGCCAUCGACAAAUAGAACCAGGCCUCUUUAGCACCAGAGUCUAGAUAUGGGGUGCAAAAUUUUCCUUUGAUCUACUGCCAUGUCAUCCUUUUCUUUUGUUUAUUAAUUAAAAUGGAUGGAAGACUAACCAAAAUCGGGC
rnacentral:lncRNA from 1 species